GCUCUCAUUCCCUUACUUCUGCUCGGAUCCUGUUAUAACCCGGUGUUUUCGUAAUCUAGGUGAUCCAAAUAAGACGCUGGUAUACUUAGUUUGAUUUCGAAAAAAAUCAAUUUUUGGUGAAAAAUUCGAUACGGGGGGGUAUACCCGAAAAAUGAAAAAACCCAAACUUUGAAGGUCGAUAUCUCGGCUUCUAUGGGAGCUAUCGGGAAAAUUCCAACGGUUUUGUCUUAGUUUCGUCAUUCUGAAUCCAACGAGACUAUCCGCAAGGUCGUAGCUCUUACGAUAGCCGAGAUAUGGCAUUUUUGAUGCCCAUUUUUGGCCUCAAAAACGGACGUCGAAAACGACUUUUUCAGGAUUUUCAAAGUGCUCUCAUUCCCUUAGUUCUGCUCGGAUCCUGUUAUAACCCGGUGUUUUCGUAAUCUAGGUGAUCCAAAUAAGACGCUGGUAUA